CUUCAAGGUCAAGUUUUCAGUUUUCCCUGAAAGAAAGUAAAUAAUAAUUGUCUUGGGCAUUUAUGAUUAUUGCUUUUUCCAAUUUUAUUACAGUAUAUCUCCUCUGGAAAACAUAGCACUUAACAUUGAGUGGCUAUCACAUCCUAUGGAGACCUUCUAUCUUUGG